CGUUCAUAAAUAUUUUAUUUUCUAAAAGUUUUUAACAGAAUAUUCAAUAAUUUAUUCUUUAAAAAUAUAUUUAUCGAUAUAUGCAAAUUUUUUUUUCCUGUUUUUUCUUCUUUUUUUUCGUCGAUUUGGUUCGUUAUGCUGGCGGAAUAAUGGAGUGUAGCCGUAUAACUCGUAAAGUAACUGGAAAAUAAGUAAACAAAUAAAAUAUCCGAAAUGAUAAAUUGCAAAUAUGACGAAUGGCAAGCAGUAAAAAAACAAAAAAAAAAUUGUUGGCGAAAAAAUCUGGAAUUUUUAGAUACCAGCGAAGUAAACAGUUGCGGAGUAAACCAAAGUUUAAUGAAGGUAACGAAAGAAUUUUUUGAUUUUCGGGCGUCAGAAUAAAAUUACGAAAUGUCGACAACUUUAUUACGAGCAUUGUAAAUGCUUUUACGUCAGUGAUCUAGGAAAUUAGCCGUUGACGAGAGAGAGAGAGAGAACAUGAGAAAGAAAAAAAAAUGGAAGAAAGCGUCGUGGACAUCAGCACCUUUCUCUUCUAUGUACCAAGUCGUUUAGUGAGUCAGUAGUGCAAGUCCACAUUGAAAUGGGGGUGAGUAGAAUGUCGGAGUGAGCGGGACCAAAUCAAAUGACCGGGAAGUAAUGAUUUCUUGGUAGGGAAUCAAAUCACUUCCCUCACCCGAGAAAAUUCUUCCCUGAUAAGGAAAUGAACCUGUCUUUAGUAACGUGUGUCACAAACCUUUUUCCUGUUGUAAGAUAGCACUUGUUUUCAAAUUUAUUCAUAUUUUUCUUUUUUUUAUCAUCCUCCUCUCGAUCGACGACAUUUUAAUUUUUUUUCCCCAUCCCCGUUUUCCACUGCAUAUUAAAAUAAUAAUAAAAAAGAUUUCGUACAGAUUUUCGUGUUUACCUUCACAAUAAGCAUGUAACGGAGAAGAAGAGAGGGGAAAAUAAAGAAAAUACUAUGGAUCUCAUACUUAUUAAAGCUGCGCAAGUUAUUCAAUAGUCGAUAAUAAUGUAAAUAUACAGAAAAGUGCUGUUAUUAACGCUGAUAACGUACUCGUAUAGAAGGUUAUAACUCAAUUAUAACCUUCAAUCAUUAGACUGUAAACUGAUGCUGUACAAAUAACGUUUUUUAAGAGUUUAAAACCGGCAAAAAUUCCUAAAUUUGUGCUAAAAUUCCGAUGUCUGAAAGGUGAAGUCCGAUGCAAAGAUUACAGUUUGUAUGGAUAAGUUAUUAUUAACCGGAAUCAUAAAUUAUGCCACGCUUUAUAUAAACUUCUUUAAUUAAAGCAAUGUGCAAAUGUUUCAUCGAAAUUUCGGCAUUUAUUAUGCGAUAAAGCAGAAUUUUCCAGCAAAUAAUGCAACCUUUUUCAUAGUAAGUAAAAAAAAAAUAAUCCAGUAUUACGUUAUCUAUCUGUGUUAUAAUGUUUUGCAUAAGGUUGUACUAGUUUUGCGUAAGUAACUGAGAAAUAAAUAUUAAAUUAUUGUUGCUAACAAGUCAUAAAUGGUACUACGCUGUAGAUCUGUGGUGUAAGAUAUCACCAUUGAUAGAAAGGCUACACAUGCAGAGUCUGCUAGAAGUGAAGUAGAGUCCCACUCCACUUCGAAAGCUAUAAAAAUGUGGGAAUAAAAUUAUAUUUUGGUGCCUUUCUGGGUUGCGGAAUGCCGAAUGUCUUCGUGGUCCCUCUCUGUCUGGGUCUGUUAUCGCCAAUAUGUAAACAUAUAGAAAAUCUGGUGAUAAUAAAGUUUUGUGGUUUUUAAUGAUUAAGUUUCGGUUUUAACUGCACGCCUAUGCUGAAUAAGUUAUAGCAGACACAUUAUUGCAUAAAAUAGGCCUAUAAAUAAUAUUUUGUAUAAAUAUUCAUUGCAUGUACAACUCAGUGCAAAUGCUACAUUUUAAUGUUAAUUGUAGAAAAAUGUUUAGAGUUUUCUGAGAAAAACUUAUCCGAAAAUAACAGAAAAUAGUUUAUUAUACGUUACAUACCAGUAAGAGGAUAUUUAUUCUUAUUCUUUACCAUAAAAUAUUUAAAAAAAAAAAAAAAAAGACGAUAGUGCUGUAAAAAAUGAUCUUACUGAAGUAUCGCUGGUUUCUAAAACUAUCCGUUCUCUAGAACGAAAGAAGUCUGAUAUUCUACAGAAGUUGAUAAAGUAGAAUAUCCAAGCACAACAGACAUCCGUCAUAAUAUAUCGUACACAGACUGGCUUCAGCCAACAACCUUGAGAUCAUUUUAAAAAGUCCAAAAUAGCAGGUUAUGACUUGGAUGAAGUCGUUUGUGCCAUCCGUAACCGAACCUACGCAAGGCUGAAGGAAAUUCUAGCGUAAGCGUAUAAGGGAUGACCCCGAAAGGAAGUUAAUGAUUACUUCAAAUUACUCCUACGUUUCAAAAGACUGGAUUCUUGUCUCCUCCUGAUUUGGAUACAUGGCAUGAACGAAAGUGAUGCACAACUAAAAAAUUCAAGAAACGUAUUCGCUACCGAAUCUAAUAAAGAACAGGAACUGAUUCGCCUGUUUGUUUUGUCCAUUAUUUUGGAAUGGUUGCAGAUAUCAUCUUCAAUUAACGUAACUUUCAUACUGUAUUUCAUAAAAAUCUAUCAGUUAGUUGUUAAUGAAAGACAUAGCAUACUUAUAAGACUCG
rnacentral:lncRNA from 1 species